rnacentral:lncRNA from 1 species
AGCUUCUAAACAUUUGUUGUAUAAACACGUUUUAUUUGUUGAGAGGUAGGUAGCAUGCUACCCGCUUCGUUUAUUUUAUUUAAAAAUAAAUUUAGCUAGAAAUGUGAAUCAACUAGGAUUCGAACUUGAGUCUCGGAUACCAACCACCAAGCCCUUAGUCACUUGCACUAGGGACGGUCGGUUAAACACGUUUUGUUGGCUUAAAGAAGCCAGCAUACUAUCCUGUGACGGAAAGCCGGGUUGAGCCGAGUCACGUUCGAAAUGACGGGAGGCCGGGUUGAGUCCAGUUAUGUUCGAAGUGACGUGAGAUUGAUUAAGUUGAGUCACAAUCGAGACCCGUGAGCACUGUAUAUGUACACUUUAAAAAAAAUAGUUAUAUUAUUCUUACAACUCGAGCUUUUGAAAUUAACAGUUAGUGUCAACGAUCCGACACGUCGCGCUUCUUGUAAAUACUUCUUCAUUUUUUGGUCCUAAAAAUUCCUCUCUCCCUCC